CAGGAGUACUGUUUCAAGAGCCUUCGGCUGCUUCCCGCCCAUCUGGGCUUCGGUCUGGGGCGCUACUCUCUGCGCUGCGUUUAGCAGCGCAGCCCUCCCGGGGACCAGGCGCAAGUGCCACCAGAGCAAUGACUCCCAAGGGUAGCGGGCCGGCCAGCAUAUCCUCUCUUCAAGUGAGCUAGGGACUAUACUGCCAGGCGUGUAGCUCCUGGAUUUCUCCAAAGCUCUGCAGUCUGGAGGCAUGUCUUUAGGAACUCAGAAAAAGAAACAAGGAGUCCAUAGCUCUCUCCCAUGUACGUGCAGUGUGAUCCGGAGACAGUGACUCAACCUCCUUUACAAUGUUUGACUUUCUCAAAGGGAAACAAGAAGGCCCCCUCCUUUUAGGUGUUUGGGUGUGAUGAAAGAAAUGAGUGGAAAAUAUAUAGAGCAUAGUAGGCACUCAGCGAAUUUCUUAAUCGCUCCCUCUUUUUCUUUUCCUAUUUGGAUCUUCUCACUCCGGGAUAUACUUGGCAGUUCUUAAAGACCAGAGGCCUAUUCUCUUCCUUCCUAUGGGGUACUCCAUCCCACUAGCUCUCCCACUCUGGACCCACCCUGCCACCUGGUUGCACAAGAACUAACAAUAACAUGGCCUGCCCAGCAAAUCCCAACUGCCAGCCCUGAGUCUCGUGGCUGAACCCGGGGCAAUGGCUAGGUGUCUGGUGGAACAGGAAGGGAUUCGGGAAGAAGAAAAAAAGAAAAGAAAAUGUGAUUUGGGGUGAAAAAGAAAAAGGGCAAGACAGUUACUGAAACUCCUUUCUAGGUCCGUUUUACAAGUUGCUUUCUUUCCAUGUGAUAGUGGGGAGAAAUGAAGUCUGAAAUGUCUGCUUGCCUGGCACAAUUAAAGGGAAGCCAGGACCUCUGUAGUUUAUCUCACAGGACACACAGUUGAGGCAGCAUGAAGUCAUACUUUUUACAUAGUGUACAUAACUUUUGCUCACAAGUAGGUGUUGCACUGGUGUUGCCUAAGCUCGUGCCCAUGUGUGAAAAUGUUCAUGCUCGUCUCUUUUUGGCAAAAAUACAGCCAGCACGAAUUUUAUCUUUGUUAAUAACCAGCACAACAGUACAGGAGGUAUACAGGUGGGCAUCAUACGGAGGAGGCAUCUGAACAUCCAGGACUAACACUUGUGUGCUAAGGCGAGCCUACUUGAUCUUCUGUGAGCUCCUAUCAGGUGUAUUUGCAAAAACUCUUUAAGUUAUGCAUGUGUAUGUACACACUGCAUGUGUAAAGAUGCUCUAACUUUAGGGAGAGACCAUCAAUCUAAAGACAGGCAUGUGCAUGUGCAACCACACAGACAGUCCUUCAGUGCCCACAUAGACGCUGGCCCACGAUCAACUCUAGGAAUAUAUUAGCACGUUAUACUGGGGUAUCUGGGACAGUUUUGUGGGGUUUUUUCUUUUCUCAAAGAAAGUAGGAAAUGAAAAUUGAAUCUGGGAGUCACCAGUGUUGGUCUGGAGGUUGUUCAAGGGGCAGGAAACUUUGUAGGAAGCCUGGGGUGAUGUCCUUGGUGCUGGCUGGACUCAAGGGGCUGCCUUCAGAGCUGGGGAGGGGAUACUUGGUGAUUCUUGUUAAAAGCUGCCCAGAGGGUAGGGAAUUAUACCCAUAAAGAGAUGUACACCACUCGGUACCCACCUCUCUGACCGGCAGUCCCCACCCAUCCUUGGCCUCAACUUUCCGGCUGUUGGGAUCCCCAUGGGGCACUUCUCUAUUUAUUCCUCGCAUCUGGUUAGGACGCAAUAGUGUCUAUUGGAGGCUCAAGCUCAUAUCCCGCCGCGGGGAGGCAUCUGGGCACCCCGGCCCAGGGUUCAGAGGCCGCUAAGUUUGUUAAUCAUUGGGAGACGUCGCUUUGCCCUGUCCUGGGAGACUAGGCAAGGCGAGGAACAGGCUGUAAACACAGAUCCUGACACGUGAGUGACAUUUACACAGUGCGAGGAAACGCAGCCUAGAGAAAUGCAGGGGGGUGGGGUGGGGAUGGGGUGAGGAUCAGGCUAGGACAGGUAACUGAAACAUUCACAAAUGUCCUCGACCCUCUCCCCCUGUCAGGGGUAAAGCACCCUCAGUUCCGGGUACCCUGUGUUUUGUGGAAGGUGACAGGUGAACGGGAUUCAGGUCUGGCCACUGCAGCCACUGCCUACCUCCCUACCAUCUGCUUCCCCGCAGACUAGCAGACCCGCCGCAUAAUGAGGUAGCAGCCUCCAGCCGGCCACCGUGACUAACUCAGAACAAAAGCGCGCCUCCACGCCUUCUCCAACAAAAGGGCCACCAGCCCUGGCGCUCCCCGAAGGCUGCGGGGCUCCCGGCUGCCGGCUGCGGAGAUGCCGCGCGCAAACUUCCCGGGGCUCCCGGGGCAGGCGGCGCCACCCGGCCGGGGCCGCGGAGGGAGGAAGCGCCCAGCCCAGGGAGAAAGUGAGGCCAGGCUGGAGGAGGGGAGAAGGGGGGAGGAGGGCGCCGGCCGCAGCGGAACCAGGGUGAUUGAUCUGCGCGCUGUUCCCGGCGCUCUGUCCCGUUAUUAGAGCGGCCAAAGCAGGGCCACGCAAAUACCCUCGGAAUCGCCAACUAAUUGACGCUGCAGGCAACUAUUUCAUUGUGCGCGCUGGUUUUAUGUCUUCAUAGCCGGUGAUUGACAAGGUGUAAUUAGUCAUCUCACUCGGUGAUAAACAUGGGCACCCUCCUCCCGCGGCAUCAGGCCGAGUGUACCAGCAGAGGAAGCGAUAGUUGACGCUGAUAUACCAUUAAAUCAAAAUGAAGACGUUCAGAAGCAGGGAUGUUACUCUUGGAGUAUGUGAAGACAGUUUGCUUUUUGACAAGCGAGCAAGCGGGCGCCCAGAUUUCUACAGCCUUUGGAGUCUCCCCGGAGGGAAAGGCAGAUAGAACAAACCUCGGACUGGGGAGCCAUCCUGGAAGGGCUCUGCGCAGGGGAACCGCCCCACCCUUUGGCCCCAGACUCUCCUGCCUGGGGCUCCGGUGGUACUACUAAAGGAUUGCCUCAAGCUCUGAGGAUGAAGCUGGGGUUUAGGGUUCCGGAAACCUCUCGAAUAACAACUGUGGGGGAGAAAGAGACUCUGCCAACAUUUCUUCCUGGCCUCACAACGGAAAGGACUGUUUUCUUAAAGCUGUUGACUUCAGUCACAGAGCCAGUGGCCCACCACUAUUUCCCCUGUCCCCCGCGUAAAGCAUAACUUCUCUGUGUUUGCUUGUACCGUUCAGCAAAUUACAUUCCUUGCUUAUAUAAAUAUUCUCUCUCUCUCUCUCUCUCUCUCUCUCUCUCUCUGUGUGUGUGUGUGUGUGUGUGUGUGUGUGUGUUGUUACUGUUACUGAUGCUGGUUACUCAUUUCAGAAACCUGGGUGCUUACAUUUUAAGUGGGAAGAGGCCUGAUCUGUUAUGAGAGCAUCAACUGAACAAAGCCACCAGCAUCUGAAAAUCCGUCUCCAGGUUACCCCAUGUGCCCCCAGGAGACCCCACUGGGGAAUGGUUCCUGCACUUUUGCCUUCUUUCUAACCUGUUUCUUUCCUAUAGAGCAGAAAAAUGAAAUGAUUUUCCCCCACCAGGAAAAGGAAUGUGGGGAGGAGACAGCACUAGGAGAAGCUGGGGUGAGGGUCACAGAGACAGUCAAGGAGCCCUGCAUCUUCAGGGAGGACUGUCUUCACCCCACAAGGCUUGCGGGCCUUGUUUGGACAAGGGAAGGCUGCUUUAUAUUGAUGAGAGAGGUUUUCUGCAGCAGCAAAUGUGCUCAGGCAUGGCUCUUUCACUAUGAAAUCUGUUCAUUGUUUUGGUCAUACCAUACAGAGAUCUGCUGAUCACCAGUAUUGACAGUACAAGUCAGUGGGACCUUCAUUAUUUCCAAGAGGAGUCCCGUGUCUGUGACACUAGAACAGAGAAGUAGCUUGGCCCAUGGCAGGCAGACAGGAGCCCAAUUCCUCCUCCUCUUCUCCCUGCAGCGAUCUGAACAAUUCGGAAAAAAAAAAAUGCCUCCCUGGGCGUCAGCUGAGAAGGUUGGGGAACUAACCAGGGCUCCGCUCUCUCUCUCUCUAGGGCCCUGUUAAAUGCACUGAACUUAAAAUGAAACACGAAGUGUGAAUUUCAGGUUUGAACAUGAUGCAUCGGGAAAUGUGAAGGUUGGCAGCCCUUUCCUCCCUCCUGCCUUUCGGUAGCAGGUAUUAAUAUUGUAUUAAAUGUUAUGAGAAAGUAA